CUUAUUGGAUUUGUCUGCGCCAGUAUUAUUAUUUUGGCAUACGUGAAAAGCCCUUUUCUCUCUUAUUGGACAUCAUCUCAAGACCGUGUCUUCCAGAUUUCUCCAGAUUAUAAAGUGAAAGAUGAAGAAGUUUUAAAAGAAAGAAAUAGAUCAGGGCAAUCAGAAGAAAAUGUGAACUUUGAAUCUGCCAUUUCACACUCUUCAAUGAAGGAUAAGGUGACUGAAGAACCAAUUACUAAUACUGAGAUCGAAG
rnacentral:misc_RNA from 1 species